rnacentral:rRNA from 1 species
UCCUACGGGGGGCUGCAGUGAGGAAUAUUGCGCAAUGGGGGCAACCCUGACGCAGCAACGCCGCGUGAGUGAGGAAGGUUUUCGGACCGUAAAGCUCUGUCGAGCGGGAAGAAAUGUAUCAUGGCUAAUAUCCAUGGUACUUGACGGUACCGCUAGAGGAAGCACCGGCUAACUCCGUGCCAGCAGCCGCGGUAAUACGGGGGGUGCAAGCGUUGUUCGGAAUUAUUGGGCGUAAAGAGCGUGUAGGCGGCUGGAUAAGUCAGAUGUGAACUCCCUGGGCUUAACCCAGGACGUGCAUUUGAAACUAUCCAGCUUGAGUAAGGGAGAGGAAAGUGGAAUUCCUGGUGUAGAGGUGAAAUUCGUAGAUAUCAGGAGGAACACCGGUGGCGAAGGCGACUUUCUGGCCCUAUACUGACGCUGAGACGCGAGAGCGUGGGUAGCAAACAGGAUUAGAUACCCCAGUAGUCGA